CACACACAGACACACACACACACACACACACACACACACACACGCACACACACACGUACGUACCUUCACCACUAACGAGCACACACACACACACACACACACACCAAUCCCUGCCCGUAAACCCUGAUGAAAGAGACGGCAGAGUGGAUAUGAAUGAAAAAGGGGUGAAGUGAAGGAGGAUAAACGGGCCGUGCACAAUGACACUUAACAAAAUGUCUGAGUCAAUUCAAACACAUCUAAAUCCUUCCUCCUGGGUUCCCCACUGACGCUCCAUUAUCCCUGCUCUGCAGAAAAUCCCUCCUUAGAAUGGCAUCAGGGACACAAAACAAAAAAACUGUGUAUUCAUCCGUGGUUCUGACUGGAGCACCAUUAAAACCACUCAAGGUAAUUAUUAGCGCAAUGUGUUAAAUCUGUCUCAGUAAACAAAAUGCCUUCUUUUCUGUCUUGUUUUGCAGCUCCGACUCACUUCAUUUUCGAAUCUGCUCUCUCCCCUCUCCCUGACCUCCUUUAAAGAGAACGAAAAAAAAGCUUUUUUUGGCCGCCACUGCUCAGCUUUUUCCGUUUCAAAGUGAUACUAACUGCCCCAAUGAGUCCAUCCUUAAGCAAUCUCAGCAAAUCCUGUGCUCAUCUCUGAAGUACCAUCAAGAGGCCACUGAGCAUAUGCAUUUUGUAGUAUGCUCCACUGAAAGGCUGCAGCCCCCCUCCCCCCUCAACCUCCCCUCCCAUCCGUCUACAGAAGCAUCACAGCACAGCGAGGGCAAGCAAGAUCAAUGCCCUGCCUCUGCCAGUUCAGGCAAAGGGAUACAGCAAUCUGUGCUCCAUUUACAGUGUGAUAUACAACACAAACAGGUUCCCUGCAGGUCUGUAAACGCGCGUUUCAUUUUAUUUCUUGGGAACGUCCGCCUGGCUGCUUCUUUUGGCAGUUACCGUGUCACACAGAAGAACAAAUGAUUCAUUCUAGCGACUUUAAUGUUGUACUCUAUGAAGUACUGCGACAGCUGGAUGUCACUCAAGAUGUUUGGCCCUUGAGCUAUGGACUAUUUGCAAUGGGAAAAUAGGAAUGUUCUUUUCCUUCAUGGAUGGUGUUAUAUUAGCAGACCGGCAAAUUGAACAUUAGUUGGCAGCUCGGCUGUCACAUAUCACUGCAGGAACGCGAGCUAACAAUUUCAUCAAUUCUGCCAUGUAUUUAAAGGUUGCCAGCAGCCACUCCAGGCAAGGAACUUGAUUCCAAUACUCAGAUCUGACCAAAUAACAGGGUCUAAUAUGACAAUUACACACUCGGAGUGGCACGCUUGCCAAAAGCCCUCACAGUUAAUGACAGGAGAUGGAGUUUAAUCACAUCCUUAUGCAGGGAUCAGGGUGCGGCUCAUGAGAGCUAAAGCUUCGCUGUAACCUGCCAGCACAAUUACCUUUUAGUAAUUAGAGCGAGUUUUGUUCGUGACACUUGAGCAACAAAAGGCUCACAACAUACUGCUAGCGAGAGCGAGGACCCUCAAGGACUACAGCAGUUUAUGGGUCAAACGUAGGACUGUGGAUCGGCCUCGAAACACGCAUCCUCUUGUGUAACACCCACUCAGAAUCAAUUUGUCACAAGCUCCACAGAUCUGUGAAGGCCAUUGAGUCUCAUAGAGGUUCAGCAAAUGUUCCAGAUGCAAAAUUUGCAGCACUUAUCAACACAGAAUUGGAUUUAUUAUUCAUCUAACUGUAUCCUAAGUGGUUUAUCAUUGGUGGGGGAGAUGUAUGUGUGGGCAACAUGUGUUUUAUCCAUAUGGAGGUCAGGAGAAACACAUGUUUGCAGACGCAGUGAGAUCAGCUGUCCUCUGUGGUCAACAUCUGUUCGCCUGCCGAUGCCCUGGGCUCAAGUAUAGUGUAUGUGUUUGUGUGUGUGCGUGUGUGUGUGCGGAGCUGAUUUAGUGUGCAGACACACACAUGCCGUGCACAUACAGUAUAAAAACAUCUAAGGGCCAUGUGUCCAAUGAAUAUAAAACAUUUCAGUAUACAGAUGCUUUUUUAUAAUUGUGUAUAAAAGUUAAGUGGCAGGAAACGGGUCUCAAACCCAGAUUGUCUUGAAUUUAGAAAACUCCUGAUGCCUUACUUAAUCCCAUUUUGCUGCCAUAACAGCUUUUAUCCCAGUUAAUUAUUUCCAAAUCUUAAACAAAUACAUAAAGGUACAGCCUUCAAUUGGAUUUCAAUGUGCAGAUCAGGCCUCUCGAGGCUGAAACCACUGCUGUUCUGUAUCCUUUUUUACUCAGGGUAAUCAAAUGACUGAUAAUGCUUGCUGUGUGUUCUCCGAGAUGAGGGGAAAUGCAGCAUCUUACAAAGAUAAGAAAUCAGUUCCUGCUUUUUUUUUCUGAUUGGAUUAAAUCGGGGGAGGGUAAUCCUUCAUAGUGCUCACUCUGGGAGUCCAUGCAGACCAGAGAGUAAAUGUGAAAAAGAAAAAACAAUGAGAGUGGGAGAGGAUUAGGAGAUUUGAAUCCCAAGACAAGCAGAGAAAAUCUAGGUGGGGAGAGUGAAUUAGUAACUCCAUCCUAUAUCCCUCAGUAAUGGCUGAUGAGGUUCCCUGGAGCAAGGCAGUUCUCAAUGAAGCUGCUCCCAGCUGUGAAUUUAUCCCCCUCAGAUUAUCAUUAUUUCUGUGUUUUUUUGUGAAGAAAGAGAAUAAUGCUGCAUUCAUUUUGCAGGGAAGGCAACCAGGCUGCAAGUCAUUAAUACAAGCUGGUAAAGUUGGCAAGUCCCAACUUUUAUUCAAUGCUUCAAUCACAUGUUCUUCGCUCUUUCUGGUCCAUUUAGUCCAGAAAAAAAGUACUGUCAACCAGUUCCCAGUGCUAUUUAACUCUGUGCGACAAUGUAGCCUACCGAGCUUGGUGCGAUGAUAGUUCUAGUUCAUUUGCACCUCCGUAAAUUUUUUUGCACCGAGGCUUUCCACUUCAACUUUUUAAAGAACCAGAAUGUAGCUGUCAAUUGUUUUGCACUGAUUAUCUGACCAACAUAUACCCACGAAAACGAUAAACAGCACAGCAUGUGUCCUACUUUUUAAUUAAAUCAUUUUAGUAUGACAGAAUUCCAGCAUUGAGGGAGGCAAUCUGAAAUCACCUCUUAUUAUCCUGUUUUAUCCUGAAACCGGCCUGUUUCAGUUCAACCAGUGUCAUUAGUUAAGUGAUUCGGCUGGAAUGUAGACACGGCAGUCCUUUGGCCCCAGGUCUGAGCCGUGUUUGGAGUAAUUGUCGGGGGGACUGAUUGACCUAUGGGCAUACGGGUUUGACCACAGCCAGUGGACACGAGGAGAAUGAAAGCCUGCAUAUGGUCAGUUAACUUUCUUGUCUCCCGUGAAGAGGACAAGACAUCAAUCACUUUCUCUUCAUGCCUGCAAGGUAGGAGUGGGUGCUUGAAUGAAUGUGAUAAGGCAUUGCUUUCUGCACUUAUACAUUGUUUAUUCUGUCAAUGUCAGUCUGAGCAAAGUAAACGACUCAAGCUAAACCAAGAUGAAAAUGUAAAAAAAAGCUAUCCCAAGGAUGGAAAUUAAAGAAAGAAACCUUUCUUCACAUGCUACUUAAUCUCACAUCAAAUCACAAUUCUCCUCCUCGACAAAGUGUUUUUGCUUUGUGCUCGCUUCUGACUGGGAACUUGUUUACGUUCAUUGAGCGCUCGUCACAAUGUGCCUGAAAUGAGACACUGACUCCUACCAGGUCACGUUAGGCACGUUUUUGUUCAGAGCAGCUUGGUAUGCAACUAGUAAGAACUUGCUCCAUUCCCGCUCUGAGUGUAAAAGUCAAAUUAAUAGAGGCUCCAUAUAUCCAACAUAUCAUCAUUACUGGGCAAGACAAACAUUUAAUCCUGGUGCAAUACCGAACUGUGCAAAUUAUCUUGGGUCUCGUUCCAUCGGCCCCUAAACGAGAUGAAAUUGAAUUAGAUUAUGCUAGAAAAUGAGGUGUUCACGCCAAUUCAAAGUAAUCAAGGUGGUUGCAUCGAAGAAUAAUGAAAGCUGCUAGAUCUAAUCCAGGCCUGCGGAGUGCUUUUUGACUAAUAACGGCAGUUUGUCAAGUGAGUAAUGAUGAAACCGACGGACAAUAAAGAAGAGCGUCGGCGAGCUGCAAGCUACUGUAAGGAAGUUAAUGGCUUGACAACAGUGUUGGCUGCAAAGCCUAUUGACCAAAUGUUUGCAAACUGUAUGGGUGAGAGCUACCACUGUGAAAAGCAAUGACCACAACUAAUGGACGUGUAUUUGUAUGGAUUUCGGCCUGGGUAAUCAAAAUUUGAACAGAGGGUAAGCAAGUAAAUAAUUAGUGACUGUCGGCCUCAGUGUUACAGCUCAUUCAACAUUUGGUGAAGCAAAGGUCAUGAGUGUGCCAUAGAUCAAGGUUUUCUGUCCUUUGAAAAGGGAACAUCUUGAGAUUCAAGCGGUUGACAGAGUAAAUCCAUCUUGCAUCUUGCGUCAUUCCUACGGAUAACCGUUAUACACAAAAGAAAGCCAACUGGAGGUAAUGUACUGUUAUAUUCAUAACUAUCAAUGUGUGUAUGUGUCCAUCUAUGGACAGGUUGCCUAUGCAUAAAACAUAGGAGUUGAGAUGAAAAUGAAGGAAGAAUACCAGGAUGGGUGUGAUCCAAGCAGUGGCCCUAUCCCAUAGAAGCGUGGUCUCCGGUUUGAUUUGUGCAAAAUGGUGUGAACAAAUGUCUUUUUCGGACACGGUUAGGACUAGUUGAAUGUCAUUUAUUUGCGGUGGUAGAGAUCUUGGGUCUAAAUUACAGUAUAUUCAGUAGUUUUGGUGUCAAUACAACUAUGAGUUGGUCUUGCCAUUAGUAUGUGACAUCUGGGAAUUUUUCAGUGACCAUGAAACAACUUUUAAGUGGAGGCAAAUGUUUAUUCUGAUUACAAACAAGGCAAUCAUCAUUGCACAUAACAGCAACAGUAAUACAAGGGGGGGAACACUAAUAGGGCGGUUUAUAUGCUCAGAACGUGAUCUUACCCGAAUAAGACCUUUUGUUUGGAACCCUAUUUAUUCAAUGCUCAAAAAGUCCUGUCCUCAGUUGUCUCCAAGAUGAUAAAUAGUUAAUUUAUUCAAUUCGGGUUUUCCAGCAGCCCGUUUGAAACCCUGAAGCUAAAAACGUUAAUCAUGAAUUAAUCGAUGGAUAAGCAAGACACAUAAAUCACAUUUAAAAAUCUCUGUGAUGUCUCUUUCUAAAUUAACUAACAUCUACAGAUGUGAUUUACUGGAAACCGUCAAUGUUGAACGAACGAUUGUUUUUAAGACAGAGUGAGAAAGCCACUUUUAUUCUCUUUAGCUACACUAUGGACAUUUUUAUUGCCAUUCUGAUUGCCAGGGCAACAGCUUUGGUAAAGUUUACUCCUUGUCAGCUACUACCGGGAAAUAUAAAAGAGGCCCAUGCCUCAAUUCUGACAACCACAGGCACUACCUGCAGCAACAACACUAGCUGGUUUUCAGGUGAAUCGUGUCCGGAUAGACAUCUUCGGAAUAGUAUCUAUGUAAUUUGCCAGGCUGAACAUUCUGUUUAUCCUAUAUCUAUAGCUUCCAUUAGUAACCUUGGUUCAUAAAUGUCUGUGCCAGAGCACUAAAACACAAAGGGAUGUUGAAUUGGGACAGAUGUAAAUCCUUACGGACUUUUUGGUUUAACAUUUUCAAAUGACAAAAGUGAUGUUUUAAAACCAGUGCUGUCAAUAGACUAAAAAAAUAGCUAAUUAAUCACACAUUUUGAAAUUCAUUCAUCUCGAUUAAUGGUGAUUAAUGAAUGUCGUGGUUGUUGUUACAAUGUUGUUUAUAAUGUUUGGUUUUAUUCUAAAGAUUAAAUCUUAAAAGUAAUGAGUAACCACUUUAGAAAGUGUGUAUUUUAGACACCGUUGUUUAAUUGUUAAUGUUAUCAUCUUGGAGGCAGAAUUCCACCUGAUGGAACGUGUUGAACUAGCGACUCUUCCUGUUGUCCUCGUGCACUUUGCUCUCAACUCUCCUUCAUUUAACGGCUGUGUUUGAAGUGCCAACAAUCUCCCCACAUUUAGCCAGGACGCUUUCAAACCACGUCUUUUAGGGACACAGUGGUGGUCCUCUGCAGACCGUGUGCCGCGCAGGGUGGUGUUAGAUGUUGAGAUGGAAGUAGCAUAGCAGCUAGCUUAACAUAGCAGCGCUUUAAGUGCUCCGUUUGCCACUCACCCGCCUUUCUGUUUGUCACGUGGAGUAAUUCCUCUGCGGAAUUCUCCACUGUAUGUUGCACCACUGUUUGAUUUACUUCCAAUGCAAAAGGUUCUCUCCAUGUUGAUGUUUUCCGCGGUCAACUUCCGGACCGGAAGUAAAACAAACGAAAUAUUUUGUUGCAUUAAUCUAGGCCACAUUAAUCGCAUAGAUUAAUGCGUUAAUGUUGACAGCCCUGUUUAGAACCUAAAAAUGAAGUUUGAUCAAAUUUGUGUUGCACUCUCCUAUGAGCCCCGUCAUCAGAGCGCUGAUGGAAUCACAAUACGUUUGUACACCCUGUGAAGAAAAAUACACAACAAACGCCUGUUCAGGAAGGAGAAGGACUGUUGGUGUGACAAAAGAAUGGCCCAUUGACCGAUGGCCUCUCUAUGUAAGAGCCGCUCAAAGAGGCAGCAACUUUAUGUCUCGCGUGCUGUCAAACUAAGCAGUCUGUCCUGAACGGGUUUGUGAUAAAUCAAGGCCCGCAGACCAACGUUCUGAAUCAUUCUGGCUUCAAACACAGCAACAUUCCUGCGUAACCACAGAGUACAAAAAAUAACCUCCUCCAUACUGUCGUUAUUUACGUCAAUCUUUAUUUGUUUCUCUCUGAUUCGGUCCUUUCUGUACAAGAAACGACCACAACCAUCUCAACCACGUAAGGAAUUUACUCCAAAUGAUUGUUUUGCCCCCCGCCCCUUCUCUGGAGUAUGUGUUACGCUGUGUGUAUGUGUGUGUGUGUGUGUAUAUGCAUGGCUUCAGGCUAAGGAGUAGUAAGGGAGUUCCCCCACAUCUGUUCACCAUAAGAGCUUGUUGACAGCAGUCUCUCUCUCUCUCUCUCUCUCCCUCUCUCUCAGGCUGCUUCUCAUCCAAGAUUAAGUAGAACACGUUGUCAGCCUGCUGUUUAGGGGCCUGCUUUGCUGCCUAUUGGGAAACGGGGGUCAGUUUCGUAGCCCUUGAUAAGACCUCUGUACUGGACCAGGUGGGGAAAACAAGUUUUGUCAAACAUGUGCAGUGUGGCAUUCUCCGAUUCACUAUUUCCACGCUCAUCUCAGCCUGAUUUAUUCUCUGUUAAAAAAAAAGAACGCACACAGGAGAUUAAUCCUUUGUUUUGAUCCGAUUACUGAUGCAACAACAGAAAAGUUAUAUUAGCUCACAAAGAGACUUUUAAUGGAAUGGACUGAAAUUGUAUGAUUUACCUCAUUGGCAGCUCAUGUACACGUAUUUUGUUGUGCGCGUCUGUAUGUUUAAGUACAUACAAGAUGAGAACAGAUCUCACCCACACAUACACACACUGCUAAGUAGUUAUCUGAAGUUGAGGCCAGAGUGUUUCUGCAGAAGGAUUGAAAGCCACCCAAGCUUGUAAUUGGGAAAAAGGGCCAUUUGGACUAUCAGAGUUGUCCAUUUGUUUUUAGAAGGGAAAAGCAAUCAAUAGGCUGUAUUAAGCAGAUCUGUGAGAGAUCUAAGUGGGUGUAGUGGCCAUAAUCUUUCCUUCCUGUUCAAAAGAUACUGGCCUUUAAUGAUUGGACAAGACGCAGAAGGAAACAGAGCUGUAAGAGCAUCCAAUCAGAUAGAAGCGAUAUCAUACGACACCUACCUAGUGACCCCAGUGUUCUCUCCUGCCUGGAAAUGUUGAAAAUCUCCCAUCAACCUUAGUCACACAGACAAAUCAAGGAUUAACGGGUAACUAAAUUUGCUUGUUCUUGCUUUGAUCGUGCUGCUAAUUAGCUUUGUUGUAAUGUCUUUCAGUGGCAAGGUGGUGCUUGUAAUUACAAUGUUUGUUCUCCAAUUCUCAUUUGCGUCAUCGAUGGGUAACGGGGUUUACGUUGGGCCCAAUCUCUCUACAUCUCUGUUCUCGCAAACACACUCAGGGUUCUCUUGCUGCCUGAAAGUGUAUCGAUUGACUCUGAACAUGUGCUUUAUUGACAGGUUGUUCACAGACAGUGUAAACCUGUGGGCGGGAACUGUUUAAAAGGUAAAGGAAAUAUCAGCCUCACAAGGGACAAGAAAAAAACGACGUGUUUUUGAUUUUUUCCCUGCACGUCAUUUUAUUUCUUAUUUCUUCUGUAAAUUGAAUUUAGUUGAAAUCCACAAAGGAUGCGCACCUGCUACAGGAGUAGAGAUGAGGCCUUAAACUGCUGGAGCUCUACAAAUGGGUCCUCGGAGGACCUCUUCAUCGCUUCCCUCUCCUUCAUAGGGAAAAGUUUCCAACAGCUGGUAGACAAUAAAAAAUUGUGAGUGCACUGGGCCCUUGAUAGCGAAGCUUUGCAGAGGUUUUAGGGGGGGGUGUGGAAGGGAAGCGGGGGGAUAGGGGGGGGUAACAACUACAGUCAUUACUGAACCCAGAGGUGUUGCAGCAAGCAACCUAAUUCCUUUUUAUGUAUUAUUUCCAAAUUUCAUGGAGUCAAACCCAACUAUUGUAUUACGUUUUGUAGCAGUUUUUUUUGUUAGUUGCGGGGACCAUCAUUACUACGUUGAAUUAAUGAAAAUAUAAGGGAAACUAUGCGUGGAUAUAAAUGAUCUAAUUUGAGUUCAGUUCUCGGCUAACUCUCUCCACAUUGUCUUUGACCUAAACUGUGUGAGUCCAGCGCAAAUUCUGGACUCACAUUAAAAGCAUUUAACUGGUAAGAUACAAGGAGGCUUUUAGUGUGGAGGUGAUCUCGUAAGCGUUAACUCAUCAAAACGUUAACUGCUUGUUGAAUGAAUAAGGGACCACCUGCUGACAUAUUCGAAUUAUAGGAUUAUGAAAUGUUGUUUUCACAACUUCAUGUGUCCUGCUGCAUCCCCAAGAUUAAAGUUAAAUAAACACACAUGGUUACCGUAUGAUUUGGACCGGCUACUACUUUAACAGGAAACUUGUUUUUAGCGGUUUAAGCAAAGCAAAUUCACCUGAAUCCAAAGUCUUUGUUAAACAAAUGAUUCUCCUACAGCCAACAUCAUCUUGGAUUUCUGCUCCGUUCAAUCCGAAUCGCAGAUGGAACCCUUUUCAGUAUUCAUGCCCUUUUGGUAUUCAGCCUCUCGGCCAUCUCUCGUCUCGAGACGAGUCCUGCUCUCCCUCUCUGCGAGUCUCUUUGUUCUUUUUAAAAAGUGCUCGUCUCCCACUGAAGCCGCCGCUGCUAUCCGCGUCUUUGAUGUAAGUCGGGGAGACGGCAGUGAGUCCUCACCUGUCAGCUUUCAUGGCUCCCCGAAGGUUGACUUUGAGCCGUUGUCUGUUAAAUUGGGAUUGAUCGCAACAACAGGAGUCACGCAGACACACACACACACACACUAGAGUGGGGCCCGGUGGGUUCCCUGACAGGCGACCGUUUUUCAUGGGUGGACGAGGCAGUUUGAUGUGAACACGGAAGCCAUUUGUUUGGAGUUUAAUUUCCUCCCAUUGCAGUAGAGGGAUGUAAGGCGAGGUAACGGGAUACUUGAGGAAUGGCUAAUGGCCGCAUCAGUUUAGAAGACUUAUUGGAAAGAGUGGCUGAAACGGACGUGUUACAGUGAAAGGAUGACUGUUUGUCGCGGAGCCCUCGACUACAGCGUUCCUCCUGCUGAUGAUCUCUUUCGGUCGAUUCUUGCCUCCACUCGCCGUCACUGCCUCAGCAACAUGGCAGCUGCGUAAUUGUCAAACUUCACGCUGGGGGCUGUCAAGCCCUACGUGCAGGCUGGGAUUUCAAAAGCAUCCCUCCCACAUUUUCCCUCCGAAAUUUCUCUUCCAUUGCGGUCUUUCGUGGAGGCGAAACUGUAUCUGUUGCUGUUUGCUGGAAACAAGGAGCGGAGGUGGAAUCCGAUUGGCCCCUGUGGGGAGCGGCAACAUAAACACUAAAUGGGAAAGUUUGAGAGCAUCCCCCACUCCGCCUCGCGAGCUCAGAGCCAAAGACCGCCUGAUCCCCGGGCCGCUUCCAAAGCCAUCAUUGAUUAGGAGAGAACUUUGCCAAAUGGAAUCUCGAAUGAAGUCUACUCAUCUGCAGUGUGAGAAUGAGUGGGGGGGAGGGGAUUGAAAAGUAAAGGGAAGACAGAGAGUGAGAGAGAGACCAUUAAAACAGAGGAGAGCCCCCCCUGGAUGCUACUGUCAGCUGUGGGAACCCAGAUGAAAGUGGUGCAGCUAAGAGCGCUCUUUGAUCGUGCCUUUGUGCGAUAAACAUCUCGCCAUGCCAGCCGUGCUCGGUGCAUCGUGCCAGCCCGGCCGGGAAGGUGAAGGGCUUUGAGCGGCCUUCCAGCUCGCCUUUUGCUCAGGACCAGCAGGCGUUUGCCAGAAAGCUGUCUGCAGCACAGACUCACCCCCUCACACACACACACACACAUUACACACACAUUCUCCAGCUGACUGCUCGCACUUUCCCUUUCAGUCUCUUUUCCCCUCACUUUGUCUUUCUCUCUCUUUCUUUCUCCAUCUCACUCCCCCAACCCUUGAUCUCCUUUUUUUUUAAGUACUCGUUAAAGAUGCAACCUCCAUUCCAGAGGCGGCUCGCGCUGAGGAGCAGGAGUCCUAUUUGAACCAAUGAUCAUCAGGUUCUCAAAAUUAAAAGUGGGCACAUACCGUGCAGUUCCCUUUUUUUGGGGGUACUGUGUGUUGUAAUAGUAAUACGAGCUGUUGAAUAUUUCAUGUUUGGCGCUGCUUUGAAAUGGUGCAGGUUUGCGACGUUAUGUGUAACAAGGGAGGUAUGAGGGAAUUCUGCCAAGGCUGCCUGAAAUAAAUCCUCUCCUCGUCUUUUUUCCUUAAAAUAUGAGGCAAUAGAUAUAGCGCUCGAGCUCUCAUCUUCAGCUUGUGCCUGGACUGUGACAAAGCCACAUGGUGAUUUUGAUUCAGUGAAAAAGAGGACAGGAUUUACUCUGACUUCCCAGCUAACGCAGAGAGCCGAGCCUGUGCGUCCGACGAACGGUGGAAGAGGGAGUCGGGGAGAGAGAGGGGAGGAAUGCCAUGCAUGUGUGGGGAAGUGGUUUUUGGCAGUGCUUGAAAUUAAUGAUCUCAACAUGUGUUAUAGUUGAGAAUCAGCAGAAAGCAAAGUGAAGGCAAAAGCACUUGCAGUACAGCCACACGGGGGCUGCGGAUCGAGCAACCACAAGGAACUGCGAGACAGAAGCUGUGGGGGGAAAGAAACUUUUGAGAAAGAAAAAAACAUAUUCUUUUCAUACAAAGAGUCAACUUUAAUGCUACAAAAGUCUGGAGCUUCACUUCCAGAUGUAAAAAGAAGCCGGCGGCCGUGCGAGGACAUUUGGACCUUGGCACGGUCCACUUAUUUCACAAAGAAACGAUUGGUUUUACCGGCUCUGUGGAGCUCAGGGAGAGACGUGCCAAUCAGCGUGUGACAGUUAAACAGAAAGCUUUGACACAUGGUGAUGACGUCGUGCGACACAGCAACUCUUAUGGAGUGCAUAUUUCACGCAGAUGGCUGGUUUAUGAAUAUGUGGCCCUGGGUUCAUGAUGCGUGGUUGAGCAGCAAUAAAUGAGCCUCUUCUGGAUAAAUAUAUGCUUUUAUAGGCAGGGGAGGGAGCAGAAAUGGGGAAGAGGGGCGACUCAUUGG
ensembl:lncRNA